UCUUCGGAAUUUCAGUAGUACUUAGGCUAUAAUAAUGGGCAUUACUGAUAGUAAGGUCUGUUUAACUAAUUUUGUCGACUAACGAGAAACAUGUACGAAUCAUGACUAUUUUUUAGUCGACUUCAUUACUAAUUUUUUGAUUCGAACAAUUAAAUUCUAUAGAAUACGAUGCACACUGACUAGUAGUAGUAAUAGUAAUAG